rfam:Oryza nivara chromosome 4, whole genome shotgun sequence.
AAUAAGUGCAACUUGAUACCGUUCAUGUUUAACGUUUGACUGUUUGUCUUAUUUUAAAUUUUUUUACGAUUAGUAUUUUUAUUAUUAAAUGAUAAAAUAUGAAUAGUACUUUAUGUGUGAUUAAUUCUUUUUAAUUUUUCCAUAAAAUUUCAAAUAAAACAGAUAGUCAAACAUCGGACACGGGUACCCAUGGCUACACUUAUU